UUUUGAAAGUAUACAUAACGUUUUCAUAAGUAUACAUAAUGAAAAUCAGAAUAUUUCUAAAAAAUAGUUUAAAAUAACUUCUAAUACAAUUAUAUCUAAUCCAAACUAUAUAUUAACAUAACAUGCAAAUUGUCAAGUUCAAUAGUUCGUCAUAUAAUAAUAAUAGUUCUUAUUUUUGACGUUCAUUUAUAAAUUUUCAUAGAUUGGUCUUAAUAUCGGUACCAAAUGCUGCGGAUUUUUACACAGCUAACUAUUAGCGAGGAUCGAGAUGAAUUUUGGCACUAAGAUUAUUAAAAUUUGUCUAGUAGAACGAAUGUUAUGGUGUUUAAAGUAAGGGGUAAACCUAUUUAUUAUAUACAUGACAAAAUUACUGCAAUCUGAUUGGUUAAGAGGAGUGCAAUUAUUUCAUUAAUUGCACUCUCCAGGAGUGCAAUUAAUUGGGGAGUGCAAUUAAUGAUUUUCG
rnacentral:lncRNA from 1 species